AUAUAUUAAUUUAGUCAGCAAAAUAUGGAAUCUACAAACAACUGGGCGAUAAGUUACGUUCAGAUCCAAAGUCUCGCUGUGCGACAAAUCGUGACUGCAUCGAACUGGUGAAAUCUGAAAAGUACACCUAUAUUCAGGGUAUGUUUGGCGCUCUGAUGAUGAUCAAUCAAGAUUUUAAGGCUACAAAUAAAUGCAAUCUCGCCCUGGCUAGAAGAACAGAUCCAACUCCGGGAUCUUUGGCAUGGGUCCUGCCCAAAAAGAGUCCCAAUACCAAAAUCUUUGUUAAGGGAUUCAUGGAGCUGCAUCAAGCCGGAUUGAUUGAUUUUUGGACUCGACGUGAACAGGAAAAAAAUCAAAACGGCAAUUUUUGUCUCAAAGAGGCUAAGGAAAAGCAACGAGGCAAAUUAUUUGAUAACCGAACGAAAAUUUCAUUGAAGAAUUUCUCGGGAGCGUUUUACGUCUUAAUCUUUGGCAGUAUCGUGUCUUUCCUUUGUUUUGCC